rnacentral:rRNA from 1 species
GCAAUACUUUUGGCGGCGACCGGCAGAAGGGUGCGUAACACGUGAGCAACUUGCCCGUGACAGGGGGAUAACCGAUGGAAACGUCGCCUAAUACCCCAUACAACCGGAGAGGCAUCUUUUUGGUUUGAAAAUUCCGAUGGUCACGGAUGGGCUCGCGGGACAUUAGCCAGUUGGCGGGGUAACGGCCCACCAAAGCGACGAUGUCUAGGGGUUCUGAGAGGAAGGUCCCCCACACUGGAACUGAGACACGGUCCAGACUCCUACGGGAGGCAGCAGUGAGGAAUAUUGGACAAUGGAGGCAACUCUGAUCCAGCCAUGCCGCGUGAAGGACGAAGGCCCUACGGGUCGUAAACUUCUUUUGUCGUGGAGCAAUAAGGUGUACGCGUACACCGAUGAGAGUACACGACGAAUAAGCAUCGGCUAACUCCGUGCCAGCAGCCGCGGUAAUACGGAGGAUGCGAGCGUUAUCCGGAUUUAUUGGGUUUAAAGGGUGCGUAGGCGGACGCGUAAGUCAGCGGUGAAAGGUACCGGCUCAACCGGUGAGCUGCCGUUGAUACUGCGCGACUGGAAUGCGGAUGCCGUGGGAGGAAUGUGUGGUGUAGCGGUGAAAUGCAUAGAUAUCACACAGAACACCGAUUGCGAAGGCAUCUCACGAAUCCGUUAUUGACGCUGAGGCACGAAGGCGUGGGGAUCAAACAGGAUUAGAUACCCUGGUAGUCCACGCAGUAAACGAUGAUGGCUAACUGCCGGCGAUACAAUGUCGGUGGCCAAGCGAAAGCGAUAAGCCAUCCACCUGGGGAGUACGACCGCAAGGUUGAAACUCAAAGGAAUUGACGGGGGCCCGCACAAGCGGAGGAACAUGUGGUUUAAUUCGAUGAUACGCGAGGAACCUUACCCGGGCUCGAACGGCUGAGGAAUGA